rnacentral:rRNA from 1 species
ACGGAGGGAGCUAGCGUUGUUCGGAAUUACUGGGCGUAAAGCGUGCGUAGGCGGUUACUCAAGUCAGAGGUGAAAGCCCGGGGCUCAACCCCGGAACUGCCUUUGAAACUAGGUAGCUAGAAUCUUGGAGAGGUUAGUGGAAUUCCGAGUGUAGAGGUGAAAUUCGUAGAUAUUCGGAAGAACACCAGUGGCGAAGGCGACUAACUGGACAAGCAUUGACGCUGAGGCACGAAAGCGUGGGGAGCAAACAGGAUUAGAUACCCUGGUAGUCCACGCCGUAAACGAUGAUAACUAGCUGUCCGGGCACUUGGUGCUUGGGUGGCGCAGCUAACGCAUUAAGUUAUCCGCCUGGGGAGUACGGUCGCAAGAUUA